UACGUAGGGUGCAAGCGUUAUCCGGAAUUAUUGGGCGUAAAGCGUCCGCAGGUGGCGAUUCAAGUCCGCGGUCAAAGACUGGGGCUUAACCCUGGAAAGGCCGUGGAAACUGAAUAGCUAGAGUGCAGUAGGGGUAGAGGGAAUUCCCGGUGUAGCGGUGAAAUGCGUAGAGCUCGGGAAGAACAUCGGUGGCGAAAGCGCUCUGCUGGACUGCAACUGACACUCAGGGACGAAAGCUAGGGGAGCGAAUGGG
rnacentral:rRNA from 1 species